rnacentral:rRNA from 1 species
CUACGGGUCGCUCCAGUGGGGAAUAUUGCACAAUGAGCGAAAGCUUGAUGCAGCCAUACCGCGUGUGUGAAGAAGGCCCGAGGGUUGUAAAGCACUUUCAAUUGGGAGGAAGGUUAAGUAGUUAAUACCUGCUUAAUUUGACGUUACCUUUAGAAGAAGCACCGGCUAACUCUGUGCCAGCAGCCGCGGUAAUACAGAGGGUGCAAGCGUUAUUCGGAAUUACUGGGCGUAAAGCGCGCGUAGGCGGAUUAUUAAGUCAGUUGUGAAAGCCCUGGGCUCAACCUGGGAACUGCAUCUGAUACUGGUAGUCUAGAGUUUAAAAGAGGGAAUGGGAAUUCCGGGUGUAGCAGUGAAAUGCGUAGAUAUCUGGAGGAACAUCAGUGGCGAAGGCGACUUCCUGGCUUAAAACUGACGCUGAGGUGCGAAAGCGUGGGUAGCGAACGGGAUUAGAUACCCCAGUAGUC